AUAUCAAUAAGCGGAGGAAAAGAAACCAACAGGGAUUGCCCUAGUAACGGCGAGUGAAGCGGCAAUAGCUCAAAUUUGAAAUCUGGCUCCAUUUUGGGGUCCGAAUUGUAAUUUGUAGAGGAAGCUUCGGUGAGGGUAACCGGCUCAAGUCCCCUGGAAUGGGAUGUCAUAGAGGGUGAGAACCCCGUCCGGUCGUUUACCCAAUCCAUGUGUUGCUCCUUCGACGAGUCGAGUUGUUUGGGAAUGCAGCUCAAAAUGGGUGGUAAAUUCCAUCUAAGGCUAAAUAUUGGCCAGAGACCGAUAGCGCACAAGUAGAGUGAUCGAAAGAUGAAAAGCACUUUGAAAAGAGAGUUAAAAAGCACGUGAAAUUGUUGAAAGGGAAGCGCUUGCGAUCAGACUCUUCCAUGGUUUGUUCAACCGGUAAUAUUUACCGGCUCACUCUUCCAUGGUUAGGGCCAGUAUCGGUUUAGGCGGUUGGAUAAAGGCCCUUGGAAUGUGUCCCCUUUUGGGGUGUUAUAGCCUUGGGUGCAAUGCGACCUGCUUUGACCGAGGGAAGCGAUUUUUCUAGGAUACUGGCAUAAUGGUUGCAAGCGG
rnacentral:rRNA from 1 species